GGCCAUAGGUUAGUCGACUUAUCUGUGACUGAGUCGACUCGCUUGGGACUGAGUCGACUCACAGAGGUAUUGAGUCGACUCAUCUGCAUGUUGGCCAGACAUCCCGAAAAUAUCUAUUUCUGUCUGGCUCCUUCUCUGAGACAUAGUGACCCACUCUGAGACUGGGUCGACUCACUUUGAACUUAGUCGAUCCAGUCUCAGAGUGAGUCGACUAAGAUGC
rnacentral:lncRNA from 1 species